AGCCCAUAUGUCCUGGCGCGGCGAUUUUUAAUCAACAACCAAUCAACCAAUCAACCACAUACAUCGUAUAGCAUAUUCAAAUAUCAAAUUUAUUAAACAACCUUUAGUUUAAAGUAAGUCGAGUACAUGCCAUAUUUCCAUCACGAUUUUCAAAUAAUAAUUAUGUGACGAUAUCUAAAAAUCUAAACUUCCACAAUUAAUAUACAUGAGCGAUAAUAAUUAUGAACGAAUUUUAAGAUGGCUCUUACUGGUACAUUUUUACAGUCUGACCUUUGCAACUAAACAAUAGUAGUAUCUAUAAACGUUACAUGUUUACUAUACAUAGUCUUUUAAUAAGAUCAGGACAUUUAAAUCAGGCGCAC
rnacentral:lncRNA from 1 species